AUUGAACGCUGGCGGCAGGCCUAACACAUGCAAGUCGAGCGAGCGGCGGACGGGUGAGUAAUGUCUGGGAAACUGCCUGAUGGAGGGGGAUAACUACUGGAAACGGCAGCUAAUACCGCAUACCAUCAGAUGUGCCCAUAUGGGAUUGGCUAGUAGGUGGGGUAACGGCUCACCUAGGCGACGAUCCCGAGCUGUUCUGAGAGGAUGACCAGCCACACUGGAACUGAGACACGGUCAGGACUCCUACGGGAGGGAGCAGUGGGGAAUAUUGCAAAAUGGGCGCAAGCCUGAGGCAGCCAUGCCGGGUGGGUGAAGAAGGCCUUCGGGUUGUAAAGCACUUUCAGCGGGGAGGCGUUACCCGCAGAAGAAGCACCGGCUAACUCCGUGCCAGCAGCCGCGGUAAUUC
rnacentral:rRNA from 1 species